GGGAGCCUUGAAGCCACCUUGAAAGUAGAGACUGAGAAGAGGAUACACAAGAUGUGACUGUCCUUGGGCAAGAUACAUAGCAUCAUCAAGAAUGCCUACUACCUGUCCAAUCUGCAAAGGAGAAAGAAGUGUGUGAGCAUAAAGAAAUUGGAGGAUCACAACUGACAGUCCCUAAACCCUCUUAUGGUUGGGACCAUACGGUAGACAAAGAGAAGAACAACAUGAGGUCUGAAAGAAAGGCUGGAAGAUCAACUCCUAUUUGCAUUGACCAGAGACUUGGAGGAGGAAACCUGUAUUGUAUUUGUUUUGUUUUGUUUUUUAAGUGAACCACAGAGAUAUUUAUAUGUAAAACGAGAAUCAUUAGAAGAAUGUGGCUUGUUAAAAACAACAGUAACCAAAACCAACCUAACCAAACAAACAAACAAAAAGCAGAAUGGAAAACAGUGAAAACUAGAAGCCACGAAGACACUAUGGCUGCCAUGCCAGGCAUUUCUGCUUCACUACAGAUCUUUAAUUCGGUGUUGAGGUACAUAUUAACAGGCAAGUCUUCAGAUAUAUGAGGACAUGUAAAGGAGUUAAAUAAACCAAAGACCCUACACAAAAGGAAAAGAGAAAUGUAAUUUAGUUUAAAAGGCAGUGUCUUGUUCUUAGGCAGUGAUUACUACCACCUCCAUUGUAGAGUACAACAAAAAUCCACAACUAAGAGAAUGGGUAAACUGAGUUCAUGUAAAUGAGACUUUCAUGUUUUAUUUUUCCUGUUUUGCAUUCCUUGAAAUAUAAAUAUUUCAUCUAAAUGCCAA
rnacentral:lncRNA from 1 species